ensembl:miRNA
CGACCGGACCUCGACCGGCUCGUCUAUGUUGCCAAUCGACUCGGCGUGGCGUCGGUCGUG